GAAUGUUUGCAGGAUAUUUGAGCAAAAAAAACACUGUCAGGAUUAUUAAUAAAAGUGAAAGUUUUAAAGUUAAUUUCAAAUUUAAGGCCAAAAUAGUCAAACUGGAAUAUUUUUCUAAGUCAGCUAUGCUUUACUUUUGGCUGUUCUGAGAGAGUAGUGGAUGCAUGGAAUAGUCUCCCAGUUGAAGUGGUAAAGGUUAACACAGUGAAGGAGUUUAAGCAUGCGGGGGAU